UACAGAGGUCUCAAGCGUUGUUCGGAUUCAUUGGGCGUAAAGGGCGCGUAGGCGGCGGGGCAAGUCGGGUGUGAAAUCUCAGAGCUCAACUCUGAAAUGGCACUUGAUACUGCUCUGCUAGAGGACUGGAGAGGAGAUUGGAAUUCACGGUGUAGCAGUGAAAUGCGUAGAUAUCGUGAGGAAGACCGGUGGCGAAGGCGGAUCUCUGGACAGUUCCUGACGCUGAGGCGCGAAGGCCUGGGGAGCAAACGGG
rnacentral:rRNA from 1 species